GACGGAGGAUGCAAGCGUUAUCCGGAAUGAUUGGGCGUAAAGCGUCCGCAGGUGGCCGUUCAAGUCUGCUGUCAAAGACCGGGGCUUAACUUCGGAAAGGCAGUGGAAACUGAACAGCUAGAGUAUGGUAGGGGCAGAGGGAAUUCCUGGUGUAGCGGUGAAAUGCGUAGAGAUCAGGAAGAACAUCGGUGGCGAAGGCGCUCUGCUGGACCAUAACUGACGCUGAGGCACGAAAGCGUGGGUAGCAAACAGG
rnacentral:rRNA from 1 species